rnacentral:ncRNA from 1 species
UUUAAAGCAAAGAAUGGAACAAGAUUUAUUGCCAGCUAGUUCAAAGAGAGGUCUACAUUAGCUGAAAGUAGACUAGUUAGCCCAAUAAAUUAUCAUCCAGGAGCUGUUUACUGAAGCUAGUAGGUAAACCGUAGGCGGCGAUAACGCAGUAGAGUGCUAUAGUUGCUAUAGUUAAUUUGGGUGGUACCACGAUAACUUCGUCCCUUUC